rnacentral:rRNA from 1 species
AUGAACGCUGGCGGCGUGCCUAAUACAUGCAAGUCGAGCGAACAGACGAGGAGCUUGCUCCUCUGACGUUAGCGGCGGACGGGUGAGUAACACGUGGAUAACCUACCUAUAAGACUGGGAUAACUUCGGGAAACCGGAGCUAAUACCGGAUAAUAUAUUGAACCGCAUGGUUCAAUAGUGAAAGACGGUUUUGCUGUCACUUAUAGAUGGAUCCGCGCCGCAUUAGCUAGUUGGUAAGGUAACGGCUUACCAAGGCAACGAUGCGUAGCCGACCUGAGAGGGUGAUCGGCCACACUGGAACUGAGACACGGUCCAGACUCCUACGGGAGGCAGCAGUAGGGAAUCUUCCGCAAUGGGCGAAAGCUUGACGGAGCAACGCCGCGUGAGUGAUGAAGGUCUUCGGAUCGUAAAAUUCUGUUAUUAGGGAAGAACAAAUGUGUAAGUAACUAUGCACGUCUUGACGGUACCUAAUCAGAAAGCCACGGCUAACUACGUG